AAACACUCCACUGGAGGCAGGAAAACUAAGUUAAGAAAGAAUAGGAGGAAGUGUGCUGGCCAUUUAGCCAAACAGUCUUUAAUACAUUGAGCUUAAAAGCUAGCAGCUUUACUGUACUGACUUGGAGUAAACAAAUUGCAUUUUUUCUUUGCCCAGUUCUUAACGGGAUUUGGAUAAUGGAGGUGAUAAGAAUAAUCAAAGCAAGAGAAUAAGAGUUUCUCAGUAUUUAAACAUCUCAGAAGGAACCUUGAGCUGAAGAAAACUGCAGGGAAAUUGAGGGAGAACACCAAAUGACCACAUGUCUUCAGAUUAAGAUAAGAAAACUUCUAGAAAAUAACCCCAGCAACUUGACUUUAAUGGAAAAUACACUGGACUGGGAGUCGGGUUUCCUUCUACAUGCCUAA
rnacentral:lncRNA from 1 species